GUGGGGAAUCUUGCGCAAUGGGCGAAAGCCUGACGCAGCCAUGCCGCGUGAAUGAUGAAGGUCUUAGGAUUGUAAAAUUCUUUCACCGGGGACGAUAAUGACGGUACCCGGAGAAGAAGCCCCGGCUAACUUCGUGCCAGCAGCCGCGGUAAUACGAAGGGGGCUAGCGUUGCUCGGAAUUACUGGGCGUAAAGGGCGCGUAGGCGGACAGUUUAGUCAGAGGUGAAAGCCCAGGGCUCAACCUUGGAAUUGCCUUUGAUACUGGCUGUCUUGAGUACGGGAGAGGUGAGUGGAACUCCGAGUGUAGAGGUGAAAUUCGUAGAUAUUCGGAAGAACACCAGUGGCGAAGGCGACUCACUGGCCCAAUACUGACGCUGAGGCGCGAAAGCGUGGGGAGCAAACAGGAUUAGAUACCCCUGUAGUCC
rnacentral:rRNA from 1 species